rnacentral:rRNA from 1 species
AUUGAACGCUGGCGGCAUGCCUUACACAUGCAAGUCGAACGGCAGCACGGGUGCUUGCACCUGGUGGCGAGUGGCGAACGGGUGCGUAAUACAUCGGAACGUACCUUAUCGCGGGGGAUAACGCAGCGAAAGUUGCGCUAAUACCGCAUACGCCCUGAGGGGGAAAGCGGGGGACCGUAAGGCCUCGCGCGAUUAGAGCGGCCGAUGUCUGAUUAGCUUGUUGGUGAGGUAAAAGCUCGCCAGGGCGAUGAUCAGUAGCUGGGCUGAGAGGACGAUCAGCCACACUGGGACUGAGACACGGCCCAGACUCCUACGGGAGGUAGCAGUGGGGAAUGUUGGACAAUGGGGGCAACCCUGAUCCAGCAAUGCCGCGUGAGUGAAGAAGGCCUUCGGGUUGUAAAGCUCUUUUGUCAGGGAAGAAACAGCAGCUCUAACACAGUCUGCGAAUGACGGUACCUGAAGAAUAAGCACCGGCUAACUACGUGCCAGCAGCCGCCGUAA